rnacentral:misc_RNA from 1 species
GAUGAAGAACGUAGCGAAAUGCGAUAAGUAGUGUGAAUUGCAGAAUUCAGUGAAUCAUCGAAUCUUUGAACGCACAUUGCGCCCGCCAGUAUUCUGGCGGGCAUGCCUGUUCGAGCGUCAUUUCAACCCUCAAGACCCCUUCGGGGGACUUGGUGUUGGGGACCGGCACAGGGGCCUGCCUGCUUGUCUUGCAGCGCCCUCGCCGCCCCCGAAAUGAAUUGGCGGCCUCGUCGCGGCCUCCCCUGCGUAGUAGCACAAACCUCGCAACGGGAACGUGACGGCGGCCACUGCCGUAAAACAACCCAAUUUUAUUAGAGUUGACCUCGAAUCAGGUAGGAAUACCCGCUGAACUUAAGCAUAUCAAUAAGCGGAGGA